CCUACGGGCGGCAGCAGUGGGGAAUAUUGGGCAAUGGGCGCAAGCCUGACCCAGCAACGCCGCGUGAAGGAAGAAGGCUUUCGGGUUGUAAACUUCUUUUAAGGGGGAAGAGCAGAAGACGGUACCCCUUGAAUAAGCCACGGCUAACUACGUGCCAGCAGCCGCGGUAAUACGUAGUUGGCAAGCGUUGUCCGGAUUUACUGGGUGUAAAGGGCGUGCAGCCGGAGAGACAAGUCAGUUGGGAAAUCCACGGGCUCAACCCGUGAACUGCAUUUGAAACUGUUUCCCUUGAGUGUCGGAGAGGUAAUCGGAAUUCCUUGUGUAGCGGUGAAAUGCGUAGAUAUAAGGAAGAACACCAGUGGCGAAGGCGGAUUACUGGACGAUAACUGACGGUGAGGCGCGAAAGCGUGGGGAGCAAACAGGAUUAGAUACCCGAGUAGUC
rnacentral:rRNA from 1 species